UGUGUUUAUAUAAUGCAGUGUGUGUUUGUAUAGUGUAUGUAUAUAAUUCAGUGUGUUUGUAUAGUGUGUGUGUUUGUAUAGUGUGUGUGUAUAAUGCAGUGUGUGUUUGUGUAGUGUGUUUAUAUAAUGCAGUGUGUGUUUGUAUAGUGUGUGUAUAUAAUUCAGUGUGUUUGUAUAGUGUGUGUGUAUAUAAUGCAGUGUGUGUGUUUGUAUGGUGUGUGUGUAUAAUGCAGUGUGUUUGUGUAGUGUGUGUGUGUAUAUAAUGCAGUGUGUGUGUUUGUAU